GAUGUGGAAGCUCUUUGGAAACCAAGAAACACUCUGAAAAUGAAAAGGGUGGAAGAGUAAACUGUUCCUGUUUCUCCAUCUUGACAGGAAGCAGAAGUUCUCCUUAGCUGAUUUUUCUUCUUGCCUUAUACUGGGUUCUUUAACACCAGAACAAAAAUAAAUAAAUAAAAGAAUCUUCCAGAAAUUCAUGAAGAGACUUCAGGUCAGGAAAGCCUGAACUUUCUCAUCCAACACCCGUUCAAGUCGGAGGAUGCUGAUUAAUUCAUGAUGGAAAGGUAUCAAUUUCACAGCCCAGACCUCUACAUUCUUGAAAUGCUCUUCUCAUGGGAGACAUUAAAUAAGCUUUGAAUUAACUGAAGAACCAAUGAUGUGAUCCCUGGAUACUGGCAAUUGUUGCCCAAGAAAACCUCUCCCCUUGCUGUGGGACUGCUGGGCACCCAAAUAAUGCACCCAAAUAAUUUGAUAGCUCUUGUUACACAGCUCUUCUUGGACUAAAAGGCCCUCAGCAUUCCUGUCAAUUUCUACACUCCUGAAGCUUCAUCUGGAGACCUCUGUGGAUUCUAUAACUCAAAGACCCAGGCUGACGGCUGGUGGAAUAGCUACCAUCUCAAACAUGGCGUGAUGCUGCAUCAGAGAGAAAAAUAAGCUCUUGCAUUGACAAUGAAAUGUCUACCCUGUAGUGACUUGUGCUUACUUCCACUCACAAGUGAUUGCCCAGAGCUACUUACCUGGCUCCAAUCUACCACUGGGUGUGUACUUGCAAUCUACCAUGUACCUAGAAGAUGAGAGAAACAAAUUAUUAAUGAUGACCACACCCCAAUACUAACAACAAUUGCAGAAGAAUCAAUGACUUAAACAAAAAUGUGGCCAUUGAAGGAAUA
rnacentral:lncRNA from 10 species